AAAAUAUUACUAUGUAUUUAUAUAACAUUGAUAAUUUAUAGUGAAACCUUGUUUUUCUAUUACUAAUCUAUUAUUAUCUACGACUAUAUGAAAUGACAAUAAUCUUAUUUCUUCCAGAUUCUAUGCACCCUAUCUUUUUUGGCCACUGGAAGCUACCAGAAUGUAGUUGGAAAAUCAUUUUUUAAUUAUGUAUCACAACCAUCUGCCAGCCGAGCUAUUAAUACAAUUGUCAAUGCACUAAAUCAUCCUGACAUAAUUAAAAAGUAUAUAAGAUUUCCACAAAAUCGUAAUGAAAGAGAAACUCUGAAACAAAGAUUUUUUGAGAAAUUUAAAAUUCCUGGUGUGAUUGGAUGUGUUGAUGGUACUUUGGUGGCCAUGAUUCGUCCCAAAACACAAGAAGAAAGAUAUUACUGCAGAAAAGGUUACCAUGCUAGAAAUGUUUUAAUU
rnacentral:misc_RNA from 1 species